CUCGGAAGUUGCUUCCCCGGAGUGCCGCCAUCUUUGCUCCUGGUCCCCCGACGGGGCUCCCGCGUGUCUGAGACCUACGAUUUCCUCUUCAAGUUCUUGGUGAUCAGCAGCGCUAGCACCAGCAAAUCUUGCCUGCUGCAGCCCUUCAUCAAGAGCAAGUGAUUUCCAAUUCCCAAACCUUUGCAGGAUGGAGGAGGAGGCUGUGAGGAAG